rnacentral:lncRNA from 1 species
GGACUGACGAACAGGAGUACGCUGAAACUUAAGAGGAGUUUCAUAUUCACCUUCUUCAAAGCCUUCCAGUGAUGGAGUAGCACAGAGACCAUCAAUACCCAACAUGGCUGGUAUCUUUUCCAGGAUAAAAUCUGGUACACGCCCUAAAUGAAAAUGUUCACAAGUAAGACAAUUAUUAUCCUUCCUCCACUCUUCCCCAAAAAUGUUUAGAUACUAAUAUACCAAUUUCUUUUCUUUUUUUCUUUGCAGGAGGGGCCGGUACUGUAGGGUGGGGGUGAGACAUCUUUUCAUGUCCUUCACUUGUCUGAAGAAGAUUCGGUGCAAAUAUUACUGCAAGAUUGCUGCUGUCCAUCUUAUUCUCACUGGAUCUUAAGUGAAUAAACGCUUUAUUAGAUGGAGCCAAACGUGAAAAUACAGAAGAGUUAAAAUAACGUAUGUAGUACAUUUUGAAGACCUUAUUAUCAGUCAUACACAAGUCAAAAUAGUUACCCUUCAUCUACAUGAUUGGCUUGAACACAAGAAAGAACCAGAAAUAUAUAGCCUCUCUAUAUUUAAAUAUGUAUUCUAAAAACCAUGCUAAUCUUAGAGUUCAUACUUUGCUUUUCCACACAAAUUGAACAUCUUUAUCUGAUUUUCAGACCUACACAUAAAAAGUUGGAAGUAUCAGAAGGCAGCAAGUAUGUCUAGAAUAAGCAGGCUCACUGACAGCAGGGAGAGGGAAAUUUUGAAAAGCAAAACAGAAAUAUUUUAAAAACCCAGUAAACAAAGGCUUUCAGUGGACAAUGAAUCUUAUAAACACCAAUGAACCAUUAAGGCAUUCAUGAUGAUGACUUUAAGAUAAGGAAAUAUUAAAUCAUUUGGUAUGCUGUUUCUUAAAUUGGAGUAUACUCCUCAUAGUAAUGAAAUAUGGAAUUUUUAAAGAAAAAUUUCCAUUCCAAAUGAAAUUGUACAUAUCUACAAGCAUAAAACGUUAGUUGAAAAAUUCAACUAUUAUUUGCCAAGAGUUUUAAUUACCACUUACCUAAGAGAAACAUUCCUGAGAAAGUUAAAGAAGUAUCUUAAUACAUGAACUGUGUGGUCAGCCAGAAGACAG